rnacentral:rRNA from 1 species
GCACAAUGGGGGAAACCGUGAUGAAGCCAUGCCGCUUGUGUGUAAAAGAGCUUUGGGAAAAGAAACCCCUUCAGAAAGGAAGAAAGGUUGGUAGCUAAUAACUGCCAGCUGUGUCGCUACUCGCAGAAGAAGCACCGGCUAACUCCGUGCCAGCAGCCGCGGUAAUACGGAGGGUGCAAGCGUUAAUCGGAAUUACUGGGCGUAA